rnacentral:rRNA from 1 species
GGAGGGCGCGAGCGUUGUUCGGAAUCAUUGGGCGUAAAGCGAGUGUAGGCGGUUCGGCAAGUCGGGUGUGAAAUCCCUGGGCUCAACCCUGGAACUGCACUCGAAACUGUCGGACUAGAGUCCCGGAGAGGAUGGCGGAAUUCCCGGUGUAGAGGUGAAAUUCGUAGAUAUCGGGAGGAACACCAGUGGCGAAGGCGGCCAUCUGGACGGUGACUGACGCUCAGACUCGAAAGCGUGGGUAGCGAACAGGGAUUAGAUACCCUGGUAGUCCACGCCGUAAACGUUGGGUGCUCGACGUCGCGGGUAUUGUCCCCUGCGGUGUCCCAAGUUAACGCGUGAAGCACCCCGCCUGGGGAGUACGGUCGCAAGACUA